rnacentral:rRNA from 1 species
CGCUGGCGGUAUGCCUAAGACAUGCAAGUCGCACGGACUGUUUCGGCAGUUAGUGGCGGACGGGUGAGUAACACGUAGGUGACCUACCCCAAAGUCUGGGACAACUAGGAGAAAUCUUAGCUAAUCCUGGAUGUGAACCUCAGCUGUGGCUGAUGUUUAAAGCUUCGGCGCUUUGGGAUGGGCCUGCGGCGCAUCAGGUAGUUGGUGGGGUAACGGCCCACCAAGCCGACGACGCGUAGCUGGUCUGAGAGGACGACCAGCCACAGGGGUACUGAGACACGGACCCCACUCCUACGGGAGGCAGCAGUUAGGAAUCUUCCGCAAUGGGCGAAAGCCUGACGGAGCGAUACCGCUUGAAGGACGAAGCCCUUCGGGGUGUAAACUUCUGAACUCGGGACGAUAAUGACGGUACCGAGGUAAUAGCACCGGCUAACUCCGUGCCAGCAGCCGCGGUAAUACGGAGGGUGCGAGCGUUA